rnacentral:rRNA from 1 species
UACGUAGGGUGCAAGCGUUGUCCGGAAUUAUUGGGCGUAAAAGAGCUCGUAGGCGGUUUGUUGCGUCGGCUGUGAAAUCCCGAGGCUCAACCUCGGGUCUGCAGUCGAUACGAGCAAACUAGAGUGUUGCAGGGGAGACUGGAAUUCCUGGUGUAGCGGUGAAAUGCGCAGAUAUCAGGAGGAACACCGGUGGCGAAGGCGGGUCUCUGGGCAGUAACUGACGCUGGAGGAGCGAAAGCGUGGGGAGCGAACAGG